GAAAUAACGGCUGGAGGGUCGGCGGUCAAGGUGACCGGCCAACUCAAUUUUAGCUCGGACAUGCCGAAUUUCUGGCCGGUCAAAUUAUUCAGCUUAAAGCAAAGCCUAGUAAAGUAUACCCCUAAAAAUGUGACCAUUUUCCCAGUAUAGCAGUACAAAAGCCUUACUGUAAUCAGUAAUUAAAAACUCCUUCACAUAAAACAGCUUGUACUGGGCUAAAAGCAUGGUCUUAGGGCUUAAGCCAAAGCCCAUGGGCUUUGUGACGUACUGCGUGCGAAAACUGGUGUACAUUGAAGUUGUUUUCC